GUCGGUGUGCUUUAGUUGGCUAUAAUGAAUUCCAAUUCCUGCAAUCCCAGGACUAAAAUUGUAAUUGACCCGAGUUCGAUCCUCGGUGCCGACC